rnacentral:rRNA from 1 species
GACGAACGCUGGCGGCGUGCUUAACACAUGCAAGUCGAACGGACAGGCCCUGCCUUAGUGGGGUACUCGAGUGGCGAACGGGUGAGAAACACGUGAGUAACCUGACCUAGACUUCGGGAUAACUUCAGGAAACUGGGGCUAAUACCGGAUAAUAGCUCCUGCUACAUGGUGGGGGUUGGAAAGUUUCGGCGUUUUGGGAUGGACUCGCGGCUAAUCAGCUUGUUGGUGGGGUAGUGGCUUAGCCAGGCAUUGGCGGGUAGCCGGCCUGGGAGGGUGACCGGCCACAGUGGGACUGGGAUGCGGGCCAGAGGGCUUCGUGGGGCAGCAGUGGGGGUUAUUGCGCGAUGGGCGGAAGCCUUAUGGAGCAACGCCGCGUGCGGGAUGACGGCCUUAGGGUUGUAACCCGCUUUAGCCUGUGACGAUGCGUGUGUGACGGUAAUUGGUAAAGAAGCACCGGCUAACUACGUG